rnacentral:rRNA from 1 species
AUUGAACGCUGGCGGCAUGCUUUACACAUGCAAGUCGAACGGUAACAGGCCUUCGGGUGCUGACGAGUGGCGAACGGGUGAGUAAUGCAUCGGAACGUGCCCAGAGGUGGGGGAUAACGCAGCGAAAGCUGUGCUAAUACCGCAUGUGAUCUGAGGAUGAAAGCGGGGGACCAAGCAGCAAUAUUUGGCCUCGCGCCUCUGGAGCGGCCGAUGUCAGAUUAGGUAGUUGGUGGGGUAAAGGCCUACCAAGCCGACGAUCUGUAGCUGGUCUGAGAGGACGACCAGCCACACUGGGACUGAGACACGGCCCAGACUCCUACGGGAGGCAGCAGUGGGGAAUUUUGGACAAUGGGCGCAAGCCUGAUCCAGCAAUGCCGCGUGCGGGAAGAAGGCCUUCGGGUUGUAAACCGCUUUUGUACGGAACGAAAAGGCUCUGGCUAAUACCUGGGGCUGAUGACGGUACCGUAAGAAUAAGCACCGGCUAACUACGUG